GUAAUAGUAUAAUUUUUUACGUACAAAAAAACAAACAAAAAACAUAGCAUCUGAUGCGGCCUUUUUGGCCCUAUUUUGGGCUACUGCAAGAUGAUUGUCGUAUUCCGGGUGCGACUGUGGUCCGCAUUCGAGUGGGUGUCUUUCAUUUUCAUGCAAUUUUUAUGUGCGCUCUAUUCGUUAACACCUUUCGUAAAGAUUGCGAAUCCUCCCGCCCAUGCCGAGAAGUUAUUGUUAUCCUUUUGUUUUAGUGUGCAUCUUUUAGAUACAUAUAUAAAUAUACUUUUUUAUGCCGACCUGACACGCUGACUACCCGAAGCUCAUAGCCCUGGCCUCUGCACGCUGCUUUUGCACGCUACACGCAUUGAUUCAUAAUACAUAAAUAAAAAUAUUGCGUAUACGCAGCGAUGCCUGAACAUCCAUUGCCAUAAAUUCUUAUAAACGUGAAACACACACACACACACACACACACAAGCGCACUCACGCAAUGGUCGAGCGUCCAGCCAACAUACACAAAGACGCCAAGUCAUCAAUCUUUUAGCAUUUCACUUAGAUAUACGAGUAUUUCCGCAUCGCCCUCAGGAACAUCGCCAUCCCGCCCUGCCAUUACUUGCCCUUUCCGUUGUCUCGUUUGCAGCCUUACUUUCAAUAUUUGUGCAUAAAUAUUAAUAUUGCAUGGCCAUGUUUAUUUGUUUAUUCGCCAUCGACCACGCCCUUUGAAAGCCGCCCUCCCUCUCGCCAGAGUUUGCAGUGAAUUCUGCGACCACUUUUGCAACAUUUUUUUGCAAGCAGAUUGAAAACUUGUGCUUGAGGAGUAUGUUAGUUAAUCCAAGUCACCUUGGGCUGAACCACGAACAAUCAGUGAAAACCACAUUAAAAUACCACAAAAAGAACAGCAGGCUAUAAAAAUGAGGACACCAAUCGUAAUAUAAAGAGUCCACAGUGGAUAGUCAAUGAAUCGAUUCUCAGACGUCGUGGCUUCGUACUGGAAUAGAUCCCAUUGUCUGACUGGAUUCACACUAGAUAGUGUUUAAUAACUGACGGGUAGACGAUCCAGGCUUCGUAACUUCAGUCUUCGUAAGCUUCAGUUAUGGAAUCUUCCAAUAGUAUAUUGUAUACAACUCUCCUUUAUUCUUAGCCAAUCCAUGGAAAAGGUUUGCCGGCUGGCCUCAGGCAACUGGUUUAUGCAAAUGUCUUGAAAGUAAAAUUAAUAGAUGAUUUCGCCGUAGGGAGAAUAUGGCAUAUAUAUUGGUAUAUGGAAAGUACACCCGCGGCGCAAAUGUUCUCCGUGGACAAAUCACAGCACAUGUUGGCAUUAGCUGCGAAUUAUGGGCAGACAAGUGCAGCAGAAGACGAAGACCGUUGCGGGGAUGGGGGCAGACACAGCGACAGGACGCAGGACAUUGGGACACACUUGAAAAAUACAAACGACACAUUUUAUUGAUGUUAAUUUAAUGCAAGAAAUAAAACAGGCGGCGCUGCAGCCAAAAUAAAAAGAAGCCAGGCCCAGCCAGCCGAGACCGAAAUAAAAGAUUUGCAUAUAAACAGGCGUCGAUACACACACACAAGCACACACUCACACACAUACACACUAACAGUCAGACCAACUACGAGUACAGACAGAGGCAUACGCCAACAUUUGCAUAACAGACGGGCCCCGAAACUGUCAUUGCCAAGGUUUUACAUCCGCUUGCCGCAAUCAUAGUCUGUGUCCUCGAAUGGGGGGCUUGCCGACCCGCCCGUCAAUAAUAUUUAUGGCGUCGACUCAUUCUUAAAAUGUCCGCGCGACAUAUGCAAGUGGAUUGCUCUAUUUUCAAGUGGAUUCCAUUCCAUUAUAAUGCUCUCGUAAGCGGCAAGCGAAUAUAUAGGAAUAUGUAAAACGCCGCCAAAUGCUCGAAAAUUCGCUUGUGCCAACAUUUAUUGGCAUGUGUAAAUAGUCCACAGACACUUAGAGGGGGUCGCUACCCAUUUGCACCCUUCGCAUUAGCAUUUCAAUAUAAUUGUAAAUAUUUGAAUCGAAUGCAAAGCGUCGCCUAUGUACAAAUGUGCU